AACGCACGAGACCUGCGGACCUGCGGAAGGAUCAUUACUGAGUGAGGGCCCCUCGGGGUCCAACCUCCCACCCGUGUUUAACGAACCUUUGUUGCUUCGGCGGGCCCGCCUCACGGCCGCCGGGGGGCUCCUGCCCCCGGGCCCGCGCCCGCCGAAGCCCCCCCUUGAACGCUGUCUGAAGUUUGCAGUCUGAGAAACUAGCUAAAUUAGUUAAAACUUUCAGCAAUGGAUCUCUAGAUC
rnacentral:misc_RNA from 1 species